rnacentral:tRNA from 1 species
GGGCGGAUAGCUCAGAAGGGAGAGCAUCGGCCUUACAAGCCGGGGGUCACAGGUUCGAAUCCUGUUCCGCCUACCA